rnacentral:rRNA from 1 species
GAUGAACGCUGGCGGCGUGCCUAAUACAUGCCAGUCGAGCGAACAGACGAGGAGCUUGCUCCUCUGACGUUAGCGGCGGACGGGUGAGUAACACGUGGAUAACCUACCUAUAAGACUGGGAUAACUUCGGGAAACCGGAGCUAAUACCGGAUAAUAUAUUGAACCGCAUGGUUCAAUAGUGAAAGACGGUUUUGCUGUCACUUAUAGAUGGAUCCGCGCCGCAUUAGCUAGUUGGUAAGGUAACGGCUUACCAAGGCAACGAUGCGUAGCCGACCGGAGAGGGUGAUCGGCCACACUAGAACUGCGACACGGUCCAGAAUCCUACGGGAGGCAGCAGUAGGGAAGAUUCCGCAAUGGGCGAAAGCUUGACGGAGCAACGCCGCGUGGGUGAUGAAGGUCUUCGGAUCGUAAAACUCGGUUAUUAGGGAAGAACAAAUGUGUAAGUAACUAUGCACGUCUUGACGGUACCUAAUCAGAAAGCCACGGCUAACUACGUG